CCAUCCUUUUUGCCUGAGUAAUUGCAACAUAUAUCAAGCUGAAAGUAUCUGAAUAUGACACUCAAAAGAAACAAACAAACAAAAAGAAAAAACAACUGCAUUUACACAUUAACUGGGACACAAAGAAAAAGCAGCUUUCUAUUCAUUUUCUUCACUGGAGUUGGAAAGGCCUGGAUAUAAGGUGAAACUUCAAGUUAGACAGCAUGAUGCCAAGAAGACAGGAAAAAUUCUUAUCAGAGAGAUUCUUAAAUCCACAAUAUAGUAUGUGUAAAACAGGGCUGACAAUAUUAUUCAGGAGUUUUUAAAUUAAAAACACUGCUAAGAUCUAGGGUAAAUGCGACCAUACUUGUUCAUUCUGUAUUAAGAUCUCCCUCUUGAAAGCUGAAGGCAGUAAUUUUUAAGUUAGUUUUGUCUUAAUUUCUCUUCUUUGACAAUGCCAUUCCAUAUUAUGAUCUGUUCAUAUUAUUUCUAGGGUCCCUAGAUAUUAAGAUAAAUUUUUAUUUGGAAAACAGGUUUACUAGGUUAUCCUGAGACUCUUUGUUUGGUAACAUUACCCAAGUUCUUGAUACCUAUGGAAAAGGUGAAUGAAACCACUAUCAAAUACCUAGUAAAGAAGUAGCGAUACACAAUAAGCUAUGCAUUUAUUCCAAUCUCCUUCUCAGAUAAGUGAUGGUUACUAGUAAAGCGUGCUUAUUUUGACUAUAGAACACAGAUAUUUACAGCUUCAUAAAUUUUUUUGACAACCUAAAAAUCCUAUCAGAUUAGUACUUUAAAUCAAGUACUUGAGGAAACAUAAGCCUUUAGAAACUUAAGCCAGUGUAUUUCAACUACAGUGAGCUAACACCAGUAAAACAAAGGAGAUUAUUGUUAUAUGCUCCUUUGAAAAGCCAGUCUAUAGCUGCAAGAUCAGACUACCCUGAAGUGACAUCAAAGAGAAGAGGAUUUAUAUUACAUUGUAGCCAUUUUUUCUAUGCUACAUCUUGUCACUAGGUACAACACAAACUCCUUCCAGCAAGAGGCAUUUUCUAUGUCUCCACCCUGCUACAGUGAGGGCUUUGGGUCUCUGCGUAAGUUGGGUUGGUUUGGGGUUGGCUGGGGAAAUGGAUUGUAAGCAGCAGCAGACUAGCAGAUGAUCGUGCAACCAAGUCUUGAAACAGAAAAAAGCCUCACGGUCUCAUAAGGACACACAGCAGUCUGUGUGUUCCUUCUCCCUUGCUCUCUUUUUUAAACUGUGUAUUUUAGGGAAACAAGGCUUGUGUGAUCUUUGAUAAUUUUCCCUUAAUCCUCCAGUAACUUUUGAACCUCAAGGAUAAUUUCUAUCAAAAAUUUGAUAGGUGUAUAGAGAUAUCAAUGUUAUGUUCUCAGAAGUGUCAUGGGGAGAAGGAAAAAAGAAAACCCACCCAUUCAGAAGAAAAUUUGAAUUAGUUCUCCUGCUGAGAGUGGAAAAAAACUGAAGUGGGGGCUUCCUACUAACUGCUUGGUCUGUGGCACGUGCAUGUAGUUCAGACCAAGUUGUACCAUGUAAUGUAUCUUGGCCAUGAAGUAAUUAAAAAAAAUCAACAGGGAGAAGUACGGUGUUUUUAAUGUAACACGGUGUGCAGAGAAAGGUGACUGAAGGAAAGAUUGGAAGUACUGUAUGAAGGUACAUAGCAAAUAAUUUUGUUAUUAGCUCAUGGAAUAAAGUCUGCAAAACUCA